rnacentral:rRNA from 1 species
AGUAGUUGUAUCCUGCGCAGGACGAACGCUGGCGGCGUGCUUAACACAUGCAAGUCGACGGAAAGGCCCUGCUUUUGUGGGGUGCUCGAGUGGCGAACGGGUGAGUAGCACGUGAGUAACCUGCCCUUGACUUUGGGAUAACUUCAGGGAAACUGGGGCUAAUACCGGAUAGGAGCUCCUGCUGCAUGGUGGGGGUUGGAAAGUUUCGGCGGUUGGGGAUGGACUCGCGGCUUAUCAGCUUGUUGGUGGGGUAGUGGCUUACCAAGGCUUUGACGGGUAGCCGGCCUGAGAGGGUGACCGGCCACAUUGGGACUGAGAUACGGCCCAGACUCCUACGGGAGGCAGCAGUGGGGAAUAUUGCACAAUGGGCGGAAGCCUGAUGCAGAAACGCCGCGUGCGGGAUGACGGCCUUCGGGUUGUAAACCGCUUUCGCCUGUGACGAAGCGUGAGUGACGGUAAUGGGUAAAGAAGCACCGGCUAACUACGUG